rnacentral:lncRNA from 1 species
AUGGAGUCCACCUCCCAGACACAGACCAAGAAAAGUUUCAGCUACUUCGUCAGAGUCCCCAACAGCAAUGGGUUUGAUGUCACGAACGUCGAUGUGAAGAUAGACACGUGCUGGAUAUUCCAGGAUGCGGAGGAUAGCAGUGGGGAGCAGGGGCAUCUUCCGGAGGAAGUGGCUGGCAGCCCAGAUGUGAACACUGCUGGGCUCAGGAAACAGUUGGAGUCCUCAGAGCAGCAGCUGUCGGCAGCGGUGGGCCAGUGCGUCCCGUUGGAGUCGGAGCUGAGGAGCAGGAUCCGAGAGCUGGAGCUGGCCGAGAGGGAGCUGCUGCGCCGGGUGGACGCACUGAGCGCCCGUGUGGUGCAGGAACGCAGCGCGGCGCUCCGUGCCCAUGAGAAGCUGCGGGCGCUGCGGGCAGAGCUGGCCAGCCGGGUACGUGUCUCCGCGCCCCUUUCUUCCCAGGUCUGUUCCCGUCCCAGCGGUGCAGCCCAACCUGCCCCGGGAAACAGGACCUGGUGCUGCCUGCCGGCCUCGCAGGCCCUGAGACUGUGGGCCACGGGGCCCUUCUCAAAGGCUGUGUCCUGCCCUGGUCCCUGUCCUCAGCAAUGACAGAAAGAAAAUCUCUGACCACGGGGGCUGGUGAGCCAGGUGUGGUGCUGCACACCUGUAAUCCCAGUUCUUGGGAGGCUGAGGCAGGAGGGUCACCAUGAGUUCCAGUCCAGCCUGGCGACAUAGUGAGACUGUCUCAAAAAUCCAAAACCAACAAACAAAAAAACCUGAGGCUGGGGGCGAGGAGGGGCUGCCCAGUGCAUGGGGCCAGAGUGGAGGAAGCUACGGAGAAGCAGGCUGUUUUGGGCAGGGCAUGCAGAGUGUAGGCAGGGUGGGCACCGAGCUGCGGGCCUGCGGUGGGGAAGGAAGGAGCCAGCAGCGGGAGCACGGGGUGUGCAGGCAGAGGGGGCGACGGCAGGACGCUAUCUGAAGGCCGGGAGAGGGCUCCGGGGGACGAGGUGAGCUCAGUCGGAGGUUAUGUUAGAGAGGCCCCGACGGGCGGGGUGGCUCCGGAGCUAAACCCAGCUCUGCCACCGAGCUGGCUGAGGGACCUUGGGAACGCGCUUCACCUCUCUGGGCCCAUUUCCUCCUCCGUGAGGUGGGAGUAACACCUGCCGGCCCCUCUUGCUGUUGCGUGUGAAGCACUGGCAUGGCAGGCAGUGAAAAAGCACGAUGUGCUUUGACUAUAGAAUCCUCGGCUGAAGUCCUGAAGUUCCCCAGGAGAGGUGCUGGGGCCCGAGGACAGGCCACUUUGGGGGAGUUUUGCGGACUUCCCGGUUUAGCUGAUGGCUCUCUGGACUGCAGCCCACAGUGCUGCACCCACAACUGGGCUCCAGGGUGGGUCCUGCGGGCCAUGACCAGCAUUUGUCCCCGAAGUGGAUGAGGAAACAUGACAGGCGCAGUGCAUGCUGGGAGUGCCGCUCCCAGAAACUUGGGUCUCCAUUCGUCGUGCGCGAGCAUGGACAACAACGGGGCAUGAUGGUCGUGUGGCGCUUACCACGGGAAGCCGUUGAGAAUGCUGGAAAGCACUGGGACGGCCGGCAGCGGCAGCGGGAGGGCAGGAGGCGGGAGUCUGGGCACGCAGUGCUGGGGUGCCAGGGACACGUCCAGCCUGACAUCCCUGGUGCACCGCCCCGAAGUGGAGCCCAGCCGGUUCCCUCCUUGGCUCCGGCGCCCUUCCAUCCUGAGGGGGAUUUGGCAUAGAAAGCACUGUGACAAGGGUCCAGAGCUGUGCCCCGCCUGGAGGUUGCCAAGGUGAUGCUGGCACAGCCCCACCCUAGAGAUGUUCACAGUGGAGUGGGCAGGGGUGGCGACAGGUCCAGGCAGGACCCGUGUCUCGGUGGGGAGAUGUCCACCUUCUUACAUGUAUGUCACUGUUUCCUGCGAUUGCGUGCACCUGGGGCAGACCCGUCACCAGGCCCACGUCCAGAUGAGGGCGGAAGUUCAGAGCCUGGGGGAUUGGCCCAGGGACCCUCUGCUGCCACUCAGACCCCCAAUCUCCUGCUGGAGACAUCUGUGUUUUGAAGUACAGAGUGUGGUUGGAAAAUAUAGUGAAUGGUUAAAUUUUUUAAAAUUAUUGUGUUUCUUCUUCUUCUUCUUUUUUUUUUUUUUUGGUACCAGAGAUCGAACUCAGGUCCUUGCGCUUGCGAGGCAGGUGCCGGAACCACUGAGCUAAAUCCCCAGCCCUCGAUUUGUAAAAAUUAUUACAGUAAAAGACACAUUGCCAAGAUUCCCCCUCAGCAUCCUCCCCUUGCUUCAGACACGCUUAUCUCAUUGUUGCCACUGCUCUCUCCGCUUUCUGAAGCAGUUCUGGGGCCCUCUUUUGUGAAUGUCUUUGGCUGCACGAUCACUGCUGCCUCCAUGUCCUGCAGCAAAUCAAAACGUACACCUUUCACGGUCAUUUGGACUUAGGGGAAGGGCCAGGGUCCCACCGGCCCAGACGCAGUGAGUAAGGUGGGCGAGGACACAUGGUGACGUUUUCACUCGAUGGAAACUGCUGUAAGCGUUGGAACUAACCUGGGACGUAAGGUAGCUGUGACAGGAUGCUCAGGAAAGAGGACUGGCCGAGCUGCCCGGAAGUGGCGGGAGAAGCGAGUUCACAGUGAGGGCGAGGACUCUGAGGGAGGGAAUGGCGGUGUGUCCUUCACUGCGAUGAAUUUUGGGAAACACAUUUAAACCUUAAACUUCAGUGCAACACCAUUUUAAGUAUUGUAAAAACAUAUGUGGCGAUUUACCAUAAUUUAUAUACAAAAUUCCACUUCUCAUUUUCCUCUGAUUUAAUGAACGCCAGGAUGCGCGGCCUUAGAAGUAAACUUUCAUCCACACAGAAACUUUCACUGUUUGUUCUGCUCACACCUUACAUGUGUCCUUGGAGCCGGUGGGUGUCUCCCGGGCCCUUGUCUCUGGUGUGCUCCGAGUGCAGUUUCGCCCUGCUGUCAGUGCUCCGGGGUGCAUUUAUUUCUGCCAUGCCGCGUAGUCGUUCUGCCUGCUGUCCAAGGCUGCCCACCGGGCCGUGGGGUCCCAGUCAGCUCGCACCCCGCACCUUGGAAAACACGGACAAUAUGUCAAGUUUUAGGCUGCCUCUCGCCUCUGCCAAACAAGCUAUCAACAGAGCCGACCCCGGCUAUUCCCCAGUUGUCUCCUUCCUGUUUGGUGUCUGCUUACUUGUGUCUCCGCCGGAGGCUGCAGCACAGUGCUAGCAGUUGGAAGAGAGUGUGAUUCAGGCGGUUGUGGUGGUGCAACCUUCGGGUCCAGCCACUCAGAAGGCUGAGGCAGGAGGAUCAAAAGUUCCUGGUCCGCUUACUUUUCUGUCUCAAGGGAAACAGACAUAGGACUGGGGAUGCAGCUCAGUGGUAAAGCACUUGUGUAGCACACAUCAGGCCCUGGGUUCAGUCCCCAGUACUGCAAAAAAUGGGGAGGGGGAUGAAACAGGGAGAUCUUUUCACUGCUUUACUUGAACUAACUCUGAAAAUCUGGCAAAGUCAGGCAAGGAUGCCCAAUAUUUGUGGUCAUGGGCACCCCAGCCGGCUCCCAGCGUGCGGCAUAUCCUGGGGACAGGCAGGGCGGCCCCGCGGGGAAGGACAAGGGCCGAGUCAGACUCCGCCCUACUCGCCGCAGUCCCGCUGGUGGUGCAGUGCAGUGACACCGUGUCAGUCACUCCCGUGUGUCUGCUGCAGCCGUGAGUCUCUCCCUGGGGUCAUUCCCAGUCACCAAGGCUGCUGUGGCCCGGCUGGGCCAGGCGGUGGGCAUCGGCUCUGGGGCCCGAGUUUGCGGACCGGCGUGGGUGUGCCUGCUACCGGGGACUUCCGCGGCUCUCCAGCCCUCCACCCUCCGCACCGCUCCCUUCCGAGGACCUGAGGAGCUUAUGGGGGUGCAGGGCCAGAACUAGGCUGGGGUAAAAGGGGCUCCUGGUUCCUGGGCAACGUGUCAGCGAGAACCAAAGACCUCGGCCAUGGAAAUACGUACAGUACUGUUUUGAUGCAAAAAUAGAAGGCGAAACCCCGCACUGUGUGCAGCCACGGAAACACGCAAAGCUAGGAUCAGCGUGAGCGAUGGCGUGCCCUGGGGGCUUCCUGACCCAGGUCCCGCCAACUUGUAGGUCCAGGAAGAGGAGCUCACGGCCCGGCGGCAGCGGGAGCAGCUGCGGAGGUGGCGGCAGCG